GUGCACCAGUCGCGAAACCUCCACAAUGCACGAAAGUGUGAUGGGGUUACCCUGAGUGCCAUCCGAUGAGGAUGGCUUUUUCACCAGUGUAAGGCGCUGGUGGAAUAAGGGGAGGGCAAGGCUGGUGCCAGCCGCCGGCGGUAAAACCAGCUCCUCGAGUGGUCGGGAUGAUUAUUGGGCCUAAAGCGUCCGUAGCCGGUCUGGUAAGUCCCCGGUUAAAAUCCGGCAGCCUAACUGUCGGCCUGCUGGGGAUACU
rnacentral:rRNA from 1 species